AUGAUGUCCAGACUGUCUCUUCUGCUGGCAGUGAUCUGUCUGCCAUGUUUUAACAGCCAAUCUCUGGAGUCCAUUCCUUCCACCUCGGUGGUGAAAAGACCUCAGGAAGUUCUCAAUCUGUCCUGCAAAGGAUCUGGAUUUGAUUUCAGUCAAUAUGGGAUGCACUGGAUCAGACAACCAGCAGGAAAAACAUUGGAAUGGAUGGGUGCUAUUUGGUAUGAUGCAAGUAAAACAAUUUACGCAAGCAGUGUUGAUGGACGUAUAGAAAUCACCAGAGAAAACAGCAACAGCAUUGUGCAUCUAAAACUGUCUAACCUGAAGCCAGAGGAUUCUGCCAUGUAUUACUGUGCCAGAGCCACACAGUAA